rnacentral:lncRNA from 1 species
GAGGGAGGGAGGAGCUAGUUAAAAGCACAAGCUCCCAUGAACUAUUCUUCAAAGACAGGCAAGCAGUCCCAUGCUGACAGUGAAAAAGAGUUCACAAUGGAAGUGAUCCUCACCCAGGAACACAAGGUUGCUGUAAUUCUCCAACAUCACUUCCUUAUACAAAUUCCACUGAGCAGAGUCCAGACAUUCACACUCAUCUGCAGAGAAAUCAAUGGCCACAUCUGUGAAUGACAGAAGGUCCUGAAAUAGAAAUAAAUGAAUAGUAUAAAUUACACAAAUAGAACAAUUAAUGAUGUUAAUACCAAAGUCAGCAAGCAUAAAGUCACCUUUUGUGCAAGGUGAGGGGAGAGCUAGAAAUGGUUCUAAAUUGGUAUGUAAUGUUGGUUACAUUCUUAUUGAAACAAAUAAUUUUACAUUUAAAUUGCUUAAAAGCCUGUCUUCCAGGCUUCUGAAAUACACACUACAGGACUGUCACACACAGUCACGAUUCUGUGCAAUAGUACCCUAAGUGUCAUACUCCUACCUGACUCCAUUGUGCACACGCUGGCCAAUACUUCCUGUGCCUCUCUCCCUCAGAUCACUGGCCCAUUGGAGACACCUGUGUUAUUUCCAAAUUCUGUGAGAUUUAUUUCUUUGGAGUCUCUCUAUGGCUAAGAUCAUCUUUUACUUGCCUUUCCAGGUCUGAAGUAAUAAUCCCAUUCAUAUUGUCACAGACAAUCCCCCCUGUUCUGAGGCUCAACUGGACUACGCUGCACAUAAGUGCAUAUACAUGUGAACCAAUGUAGCGCCUCUACUUUCCUUGCUUUGCAAGACCUUCUGCAGCCUGUCAAAAGAUUUCCUGAUGAUGACGGCACAAUGCAAAGUCACGGGUGUUCCCUGAGCAGUCUGCAGCAGUUCUUUCUAGCUCCAAAUUUUCAGAUGUGAGUAAUAUAGCAUGAAGUAACCAUGGAAAUCAGGGAAGUAUAAAGGGAGCAUGUGGGGAGGGGCAUGAGAAAUGCGUAGCAGGACACAGGUGAUCUGAAGUGGGAAAGGGAAAACCUACGGGGAAGGGGGGUCAACUGGGAAAAUGGUGGGAGGUCAACACAGAUGGAGAAAGGGUAGAAUAAACCUGGAGGGGGUUUCAAUUGGCAAGAAGAAAGGAGGUCCAUACAGAUGGAGAGGAAGGGCGAGAUAAGGAAAACGAAUACCAAACCUCAUGAAAUCAUAUUAUUUUAUACUUACUGAAACUUAUACACUAUAUAUUAUAUGCAAACUUAGACAAAAACCACAAGAGCUCUCAACCCCAGAGCUAACUCUCUAGGCCUCGUGAUGUUUAACUUUUUAAGUCAUUUAUUUUUAUUUUUGUGCAUAUGUUGUUGCCAUCUUGUAUGAUGGUGCACCACAUGGUUACCCUGGAGACCAGAAGAUGUUAUUGGUUCCCUGGAACUGCAGUUAUAGACAAUUAUGAACCACUGUGUGCCUGGUGGGGGCUGAACAAUGUUCCUUUGCUAGAGAAACAAGUGCCUCUAUUUAAAAAAUAAAUUAUUUUUG